rnacentral:rRNA from 1 species
UAUACCUUUCGGUGGGGAAUAACGUUGGGAAACUGACGCUAAUACCGCAUACGCCCUUCGGGGGAAAGAUUUAUCGCCGAGAGAUUAGCCCGCGUCCGAUUAGCUAGUUGGUGGGGUAACGGCCCACCAAGGCAACGAUCGGUAGCUGGUCUGAGAGGAUGAUCAGCCACACUGGGACUGAGACACGGCCCAGACUCCUACGGGAGGCAGCAGUGGGGAAUAUUGGACAAUGGGGGCAACCCUGAUCCAGCCAUGCCGCGUGAGUGAUGAAGGCCUUAGGGUUGUAAAGCUCUUUCGCUCGCGACGAUGAUGACGGUAGCGAGAGAAGAAGCCCCGGCUAACUUCGUGCCAGCAGCCGCGGUAAUACGAAGGGGGCUAGCGUUGUUCGGAAUUACUGGGCGUAAAGCGCACGCAGGCGGUGAUCCAAGUCAGAAGUGAAAGCCCUGGGCUCAACCCGGGAACUGCUUUUGAUACUGGACCACUGGAAUCACGGAGAGGGUAGGGGAAUUCCGAGUGUAGAGGUG